UACGGGGGGGGUAAGCGUUGUUCGGAAUUACUGGGCGUAAAGGGCUCGUAGGCGGCCAACUAAGUCAGACGUGAAAUCCCUCGGCUUAACCGGGGAACUGCGUCUGAUACUGGAUGGCUUGAGUUUGGGAGAGGGAUGCGGAAUUCCAGGUGUAGCGGUGAAAUGGCGUAGAUAUCUGGAGGAACACCGGUGGCGAAGGCGGCGAUCCUAGGACCGAA
rnacentral:rRNA from 1 species